CGCCAGACUCCUACGGGAGGCAGCAGUGGGGGAUAUUGCACAAUGGGGGGAACCCUGAUGCAGCGACGCCGCGUGGGUGAAGAAGUAUUUCGGUAUGUAAAGCCCUAUCGGCAGGGAAGAAAUUGGACGGUACCUGACUAAGAAGCCCCGGCCAACUACGUGCCAGCAGCCGCGGUAAUACGUAGGGGGCAAGCGUUAUCCGGAUUCACUGGGUGUAAAGGGAGCGUAGACGGCCAUGCAAGCCUGGAGUGAAAGCCCGGGGCCCAACCCCGGGACUGCUCUGGGAACUGUGCGGCUGGAGUGCGGGAGGGGCAGGCGGAAUUCCUGGUGUAGCGGUGAAAUGCGUAGAUAUCAGGAGGAACACCGGCGGCGAAGGCGGCCUGCUGGACCGCGACUGACGUUGAGGCUCGAAAGCGUGGGGAGCAGACAGGAUUAGAUACCCCAGUAU
rnacentral:rRNA from 1 species